rnacentral:lncRNA from 1 species
UGAAGGUCAGAGAAUUUGAACCUUCUUAUCCAGAAGGCCAUGAGAUUAUGUGGGUCAGAAGCAGCUCACCUACCACCUAAGCUACUGUAGGUGACUGGGUAAGCUGUGCAGACCAAUGUCUGGAGGAGGUGAUUCUAAGCCUACCUGCUCCUCUCAGCUCACCGACCCGACCAGCUUCAUGUGCUGCCAGAUCUUCCUCGAAUGAGGUACCAGUCGAGGUUG